rnacentral:rRNA from 1 species
AGAGUUUGAUUCUGGCUCAGGAUGAACGCUGGCGGCGUGCCUAACACAUGCAAGUCGAACGGAGAACCGCCCUCGGCGGGUUAUGAAGUGGCGAACGGGUGAGUAACACGUGACCAACCUGCCCCGCGGCCCAGGGACAGCCUCGGGAAACCGGGAUUAAUACCUGAUGCGCCCCGCCCCCGCAUGGGGAGGGGGAAAGCCUUCGCGGCGCGGGAUGGGGUCGCGGCCCAUCAGGUAGACGGCCGGGUAGAGGCCGGCCGUGCCGACGACGGGUAGCCGGGUUGAGAGACCGACCGGCCACAUUGGGACUGAGAUACGGCCCAGACUCCUACGGGAGGCAGCAGUGGGGAAUAUUGCGCAAUGGGGGGAAAACCCCCUGACGCAGCAACGCCGCGUGCGGGACGACGGCCCUCGGGUUGUAAACCGCUUUCAGCAGGGAAGACAUCGACGGUACCUGCAGAAGAAGCCCCGGCUAACUACGUGCCAGCCGCCGC